GGCGGCGGAGGAGGAGGAGGCGGCACAGAGGAGAGGACAGCCCUGCUGCUGCUGCUGCUGCUGCUGCUGGCAGAAGAGGGGGGAAGUUUGACAAAUCGCCCCGGAGGAAGGAGGAGGGGAAGCCCCCCGAAGAGCUGAUCUUUAGGAUGAAAAAAAAUCGCAGUCGCCUAAAGUCCCCGGGAAAUUGCUACUGUUGGGGGAAAAUGAAACAUUUCUUGCAAACAAGAAAAUGGAAGAAAAAGAAAACCCACUGAGCUUUCCAUCAGACGGUUUACAGAGGGAAGUGCAGAUGCCUUAGUGUGCUUCGGCUUCUUUGGGGGUCACAGUCUAUUCCAGAGAGCCAGAACGCACAAUUUUAUGAAGUGUAACAUUUCCAAACGUAAUGCAUCAAAUCGAUGGCUGUACAGACUCAAUCCACAAAGACUCAGCACACGAGGCUCAGCCCUAAGCUCGCUUUUCCCGGCAGUUUUAAAACAAGGUACCAAUUAUUUAUAAGUCACACAAUCAGAUAACCAUCGCUCCUGAACUUUCCACCAGACUGUUUUAUCUUCCCCAACUGGGCACUGCUUACUGCCCUUCUUUGGUGUAUAUUUUCACCGCUCAUACCAUUCCUCUCCACUAAAACUCCACCAAUUGCCUGAGACGCCUCUUUCGUCCCCCAGCCCGAGUGGAGACAGCGGCUGAGCCGAUAAAGGACCACUGGAAUUAACUGCUGGUUGUGGGAACGGCCAGGGAGGAUCAGCGAGGAAGUUUAGUAAACUCGGAACAGCUGCCUCCUAGAAGCCAGCGUGUUUUAGCCGAGCUUUAACCUUGUUCUCUCCCGAGCAGCGUGUUGAUGUUUCGCCACUCGCUCACUGCAAACAAGGCAGGGAGCGGCGUGCGCCGAGGUGCCCGUGCUGCUGCUCUCGCUCGCCGUUCGCACCGCUUCACUCUUCUCUGGGGUCAGUCCCGGGGACGGAACGACCCCGACCUCUGCCUCUCUCCUCUCGCCCCAGCUCCGGCCCAGCGCUGCAGGCGCCUCCCGUUCGAGCGGGGCAGAGGAGCCGACGGAGA